UGGGGAAUAUUGCACAAUGGGCGCAAGCCUGAUGCAGCGACGCCGCGUGGGGGAUGACGGCCUUCGGGUUGUAAACCUCUUUCAGCACAGACGAAGCGCAAGUGACGGUAUGUGCAGAAGAAGCACCGGCCAACUACGUGCCAGCAGCCGCGGUAAUACGUAGGGUGCGAGCGUUGUCCGGAAUUACUGGGCGUAAAGAGCUCGUAGGUGGUUUGUCGCGUUGUCCGUGAAAACUCACAGCUUAACUGUGGGCGUGCGGGCGAUACGGGCAGACUGGAGUACUGCAGGGGGAGACUGGAAUUCCUGGUGUAGCGGUGGAAUGCGCAGAUAUCAGGAGGAACACCGGUGGCGAAGGCGGGUCUCUGGGCAGUAACUGACGCUGAGGAGCGAAAGCGUGGGGAGCGAACAGGAUUAGGAUACCCUGGUAGUCCACGCUGUAAACGGUGGGUACUAGGUGUGGGUUUCCUUCCUUGGGAUCCGUGCCGUAGCUAACG
rnacentral:rRNA from 1 species